AGACCCGAAACCCGGUGAUCUAGCCAUGGGCAGGUUGAAGGUUGGGUAACACUAACUGGAGGACCGAACCGACUAAUGUUGAAAAAUUAGCGGAUGACCUGUGGCUGGGGGUGAAAGGCCAAUCAAACCGGGAGAUAGCUGGUUCUCCCCGAAAGCUAUUUAGGUAGCGCCUCGUGAAUUCAUCUCCGGGGGUAGAGCACUGUUUCGGCUAGGGGGCCAUCCCGGCUUACCAACCCGAUGCAAACUGCGAAUACCGGAGAAUGUUAUCACGGGAGACACACGGCGGGUGCUAACGUCCGUCGUGAAGAGGGAAACAACCCAGACCGCCAGCUAAGGUCCCAAAGUCAUGGUUAAGUGGGAAACGAUGUGGGAAGGCCCAGACAGCCAGGAUGUUGGCUUAGAAGCAGCCAUCAUUUAAAGAAAGCGUAAUAGCUCACUGGUCGAGUCGGCCUGCGCGGAAGAUGUAACGGGGCUAAACCAUGCACCGAAGCUGCGGCAGCGACACUCAGGUGUUGUUGGGUAGGGGAGCGUUCUGUAAGCCUGUGAAGGUGGCCUGUGAGGGUUGCUGGAGGUAUCAGAAGUGCGAAUGCUGACAUAAGUAACGAUAAAGCGGGUGAAAAGCCCGCUCGCCGGAAGACCAAGGGUUCCUGUCCAACGUUAAUCGGGGCAGGGUGAGUCGACCCCUAAGGCGAGGCCGAAAGGCGUAGUCGAUGGGAAACGGGUUAAUAUUCCCGUACUUGGUGUUACUGCGAAGGGGGGACGGAGAAGGCUAUGUUGGCCGGGCGACGGUUGUCCCGGUUUAAGCGUGUAGGCUGGUUUUCCAGGCAAAUCCGGAAAAUCAAGGCUGAGGCGUGAUGACGAGGCACUACGGUGCUGAAGCAACAAAUGCCCUGCUUCCAGGAAAAGCCUCUAAGCAUCAGGUAACAUCAAAUCGUACCCCAAACCGACACAGGUGGUCAGGUAGAGAAUACCAAGGCGCUUGAGAGAACUCGGGUGAAGGAACUAGGCAAAAUGGUGCCGUAACUUCGGGAGAAGGCACGCUGACACGUAGGUGAAGU
rnacentral:rRNA from 1 species